GAUGAGAACGCAGUGAAAUGCGAUAAUUAAUGUGAAUUGCAGAAUUCAGUGAAUCAUCGAGUCUUUGAACGCACAUUGCGCCCCCUGGUAUUCCGGGGGGCAUGCCUGUCCGAGCGUCAUUGCUGCCCUCAAGCACGGCUUGUGUGUUGGGCUUCCGUCCCUGGCAACGGGGACGGGCCCAAAAGGCAGUGGCGGCACCAUGUCUGGUCCUCGAGCGUAUGGGGCUUUGUCACCCGCUCCCGUAGGUCCAGCUGGCAGCUAGCCUCGCAACCAAUCUUUUUAACCAGGUUGACCUCGGAUCAGGUAGGGAUACCCGCUGAACUUAAGCAUAUCAAUAAGCGGAGGA
rnacentral:misc_RNA from 1 species